rnacentral:lncRNA from 1 species
UUAUUUAUUUAUUUUUAUUUUAUUUCAUUGAAAUAUAUUUAGUUAUUAUCUUAAUUAUUUAUUUAUUUCUUUAUUCAUUCAUUCAUAGAUAUAAUUAUUUAUACAUUUAUUUAUUUAUUUAUUUUUUCUUCUUUUCUUCCUUUUUCUUCUUUUUUUUCUUUUCUUUUUUCUUCUCUUCCUCUCCUCCCUUCUUAUUUAUUUAUUUAUUAGUUUAUUUCAUUGAGAUAUAUUUAGUUAUUAUCUUAAUUAUUUAUUUUUUUAUUCGUUCAU